rnacentral:rRNA from 1 species
UACGUAGGCAGCAAGCGUUGUUCGGAAUUACUGGGCGUAAAGAGUGUGUAGGCGGUUCUCUAAGUUUGGUGUGAAAUCUCCCGGCUCAACUGGGAGGGUGCGCCGAAAACUGGAAUGCUUGAGCAUGGGAGAGGAAAGCGGAAUUCCUGGUGUAGCGGUGAAAUGCGUAGAUAUCAGGAGGAACACCUGCGGUGUAGGCGGCUUUCUGGACCAUUGUUGACGCUGAGACACGAAAGCGUGGGUAGCAAACAGG